AGAGUUUGAUCAUGGCUCAGAACGAACGCUGGCGGCGUGGAUAAGACAUGCAAGUCGAGCGCUGAUUAUAGGGUAGCAAUAUCUUGUAGUCGGAGCGGCGCAAGGGUGCGUAACACGUGGGUAAUCUGCCAUGAAGUUUGGGAUAACUUGCUGAAAGGCGAGCUAAUACCGGAUGUGACCGUUGGGAGGCAUCUCCUGAUGGUUAAAGUUGGGGACCGUAAGGCCUGACGCUUCAUGAUGAGCCCGCGGCCUAUCAGCUAGUUGGUGAGGUAACGGCUCACCAAGGCUAAGACGGGUAGCUGGUCUGAGAGGACGACCAGCCACACUGGAACUGAGACACGGUCCAGACACCUACGGGUGGCAGCAGUCGAGAAUUUUUCACAAUGGGCGCAAGCCUGAUGGAGCGACGCCGCGUGGGGGAUGAAUGGCUUCGGCCCGUAAACCCCUGUCAUUCGCGAUCAAACCUCGCUAUUUAAAAGAUGGCGAGCUGAUAGUAGCGGAAGAGGAAGGGACGGCUAACUCUGUGCCAGCAGCCGCGGUAAUACAGAGGUCCCGAGCGUUGUUCGGAUUCACUGGGCGUAAAGGGUGCGUAGGUGGUGAGGUAAGUCGGAUGUGAAAGCUCGGAGCUCAACUCCGAAAUGGCAUUGGAAACUACCUUGCUCGAGGGUUGGAGGGGGGACUGGAAUUCUCGGUGUAGCAGUGAAAUGCGUAGAUAUCGAGAGGAACACCAGUGGCGAAGGCGAGUCCCUGGACAACUCCUGACACUGAGGCACGAAAGCUAGGGGAGCAAACAGGAUUAGAUACCCUAGUAGUCC
rnacentral:rRNA from 1 species